rnacentral:rRNA from 1 species
GAUUAACGCUGGCGGCGUGCCUAACACAUGCAAGUCGAGCGGCAGCGAGUUCUACACUGACUUCUGGAAGCUUCUAGUUGAAAGAGAAGAUUUAUUCAAGAAUUUUGUGUAAAAUGUCGGCGAGCGGCGGACGGCUGAGUAACGCGUGGGAACGUACCCCAAAGUGAGGGAUAACGCAUCGAAAGGUGUGCUAAUACCGCAUAUGGUCUUCGGAUUAAAGCCUUCGGGCGCUUUGGGAACGGCCUGCGUAAGAUUAGAUAGUUGGUGGGGUAAUGGCCUACCAAGUCGACGAUCUUUAACUGGUUUGAGAGGAUGAUCAGUCAGACUGGAACUGAGACACGGUCCAGACUCCUACGGGAGGCAGCAGUGAGGAAUCUUCCACAAUGGGCGAAAGCCUGAUGGAGCAACGCCGCGUGCAGGAUGAAGGCCUUCGGGUUGUAAACUGCUUUUAUAAGUGAGGAUUAUGACAGUAACUUAUGAAUAAGGAUCGGCUAACUACGUG